UGCAUUGUCUUAACCUCAAAGAACUCUGUACCUCCAAUCUCAUCUGAUCUCAGAAGCUAAGCAGGAUUGGAUCUGGUUAGUACUAGGAUGGGAGACCACCUAGGAAUACCUUUUGUGGCUGCCA
rnacentral:rRNA from 1 species